UAAUACAUGCAAGUCGAGCGAACCGACGAAGUGCUUGCACUUCUGACGUUAGCGGCGGACGGGUGAGUAACACGUAAGGAACCUACCGAUAAGCGGGGGACAACAUCCGGAAACGGGUGCUAAUACCGCAUAGGAAACACCACCUCAUGGUGGUGUUUGGAAAGACGGCUUUGCUGUCACUUAUCGAUGGCCUUGCGGUGCAUUAGCUCGUUGGUGGGGUAACGGCCUACCAAGGCAAUGAUGCAUAGCCGACCUGAGAGGGUAAUCGGCCACAUUGGGACUGAGACACGGCCCAAACUCCUACGGGAGGCAGCAGUAGGGAAUCUUCCGCAAUGGGCGCAAGCCUGACGGAGCAACGCCGCGUGAGUGAAGAAGGUUUUCGGAUCGUAAAGCUCUGUUGUAAGAGAAGAACAAAUUGGAGAGUAACUGCUCCAGUCUUGACGGUAUCUUACCAGAAAGCCACGGCUAACUACGUGCCAGCAGCCGCGGUAAUC
rnacentral:rRNA from 1 species